rnacentral:rRNA from 1 species
CGGGAAUUUUGGGCAAUGGGCGAAAGCCUGACCCAGCAACGCCGCGUGAAGGAUGAAAUCCCUCGGGAUGUAAACUUCGCAAGAACAGGAAGAAUAAGUUUGUGCCAACACCACAAGCGAUGACGGUACUGUUUGUAAGCUCCGGCUAACUCCACGCCAGCAGCCGCGGUAAUACGGGGGGAGCAAGCGUUGUUCGGAUUUACUGGGCGUAAAGGGCGCGUAGGCGGCCACCGCAAGUCAGUUGUGAAAUCUCUGGGCUUAACCCAGAAAGGUCAACUGAUACUGCGGGGCUAGAGUGCAGAAGGGGCAACUGGAAUUCUCGGUGUAGCGGUGAAAUGCGUAGAUAUCGAGAGGAACACCUGCGGCGAAGGCGGGUUGCUGGGCUGACACUGACGCUGAUGUGCGAAAGCUAGGGGAGCGAA